UUCGUAGGUGGUGCGGUAAGUUGGGAGUGAAAUCUCUGGGCUUAACUCAGGGGCUGCUUUCAAAACUGCCGUGCUCGAGUGCGAGAGAGGCCAGUGGAAUUGCAGGUGUAGCGGUGAAAUGCGUAGAUAUCUGCAGGAACACCCGUGGCGAAGGCGGCUGGCUGGAUCGCAACUGACACUGAGGAACGAAAGCUAGGGAGCAAACA
rnacentral:rRNA from 1 species